rnacentral:rRNA from 1 species
UACGUAUGGGGCAAGCGUUAUCCGGAUUCAUUGGGCGUAAAGAGCGCGUAGGCGGCUUGUUAAGCGAGAUGUGAAAACCGGGGGCUUAACCCGCGGCCUGCAUCUCGAACUGGCAGGCUUGAGUCUGGUAGAGGAGUGUGGAAUUCCCAGUGUAGCGGUGAAAUGCGCAGAUAUUGGGAGGAACACCAGUGGCGAAGGCGGCACUCUGGGCCACGACUGACGCUGAGGCGCGAAAGCUAGGGGAGCGAACAGGAUUAGAAACCCGUGUAGU